rnacentral:rRNA from 1 species
CCUACGGUGUGCUGCAGUGGGGAAUAUUGGGCAAUGGGCGCCAGCCUGACCCAGCAACGCCGCGUGAAGGAAGAAGGCUUUCGGGUUGUAAACUUCUUUUAUCAGGGACGAAGCUAGUGAUGGUACUUUAUGACUCAGCCACGGCUAACUACGUGGCAGCAGCCGCGGUAAUUCGGAGGUGGCAAGGGUUCUACGGAAUUACUGGGUGUAAAGGGAGUGUAGGCGGGGGUGCAAGUCAGAUGUGAAAACUAUGGGCUCAACCCAGAGCCUGCAUUUGACACUGUACUGCUUGAGUGCUGGAGAGGCAAUCGGAAUUCCGUGUGUAGCGGUGAAAUGCGUAGAUAUACGGAGGAACACCAGUGGCGAAGGCGGAUUGCUGGACAGUAACUGACGCUGAGGCGCGAAAGCGUGGGGAGCAAACAGGAUUAGAUACCCUUGUAGUC